GGAGAAACACCAGGCACCAGAUCUUUGAGUGGAAUGCAGAAGUGCUUUUUGCUGUAUCCUACAGAACCCAGGCCUCGCCUCUCCCAGAUGACCAGGAAUUGUUUUGUUUGUAAACAGAGACAGGGUUUCUCUGUCUUUGGAGCCUGUCCUGGAACUCGCACUGUAGACCAGGCUGCCCUGGAACUCACAGAGAUCCGCCUGCCUCUGCCUCCUGAGUUUUGGGAUUAAAGGCGUGCGCCACCACUGCCCAGUGGCUGGGAAUUGUUUUAGGAAAAAUUCCGAGAACUAAAGUCACUGAGGAUGCUGCCCCAAUCUGAUCCUAGGUGGCCCUUUACUUACUUUUGCUGAUGAUGAGUCUGCCUACGGACAGACAGACCACUCACUGCCUGGAGGAGACAUCCUAACUGCCACUGGGAGUUGAGAGCUCAAGAGCGGCAGGUUCCGAGCCUGACAGACCUGGGAGGGAAGUGCCUAAUUGGCCAAGGUCCUCGGGGUCGCUAAAGGUGCCUGCCUUCUGUAGAGCACCCAGUGAUGGCCCGCCAAAGACUGGCCUUGGGCCUGGCAUUCUGCCUGCUUGCUAGCACAAGUCUCUGGCUCCUGUGGGGAUUUGCCAGGGACUGGCUGUUGGUCUCCUAUGUGCCUUUUUACCUCCCCUGCCGAGACUCGUAAGUAUGGGGCUAGAGGAUUUGGGGGCAGUGUGAGCUGAGUGUAUUUGGAAAACAGGAAAGCUUUUAGGAUGACAUCGUCUGAGAUUUCAGCCUUCAAGCCUCCUUCUGCCCUCAGUGCUUGCACAGCUGUGGGUCUUGCUUCUUGCUUGCUGUGCCUGUUCGAUGGGAUGGUAGAGAUGCCUCUCCUGGCUGAUGCGUAUGAGUAUCCUCGUGUCCUAGUGCAUAGAAGGUGGUCAGUAAACAGCCCUGUUAGGAAAGAACCUCUUGCUUCAUUUGUGUGGAUGCAGGAAACCUAGUACCACUGGACUAAAGCCUUCCAUGCAGAGUGAACGUAUUUGACAGCUAAAAGUGAAAAGAUGGACCUCGUGAACUUUUGUGUUUUAUGGCAGCUAAAGAAGACCAGGCUGGCCUUGAACUCAAAGAUCCACCUGCCUCUGCCUCCAGAGUGCUGGGAUUAAAGAUGUGCGCCACCACCUGGCAUAACACAUUUUAUCAAAAACAAAAUAUAGUAGUAGUAUUUUAGUCCUUAUUCAGAUGUUUAUAACAGGAUACCACAGUUCUGGCCCAGAGUCAAGGAGCUACAUGUGCUGAAUUUGUUGGCGACUAUCUUGCUGGCAAGGUCCCAGGGCAGCACAGGGUGAGAGACAGAAUGUAUCUCUGUGUAUAUUUUUUGGUCUCUUUGUCUUAAUCCCUACCCAUCCUCGAACUCUGUAAGUCAACCAGGCUAACCUUAAAUUUACAGAGAUCUGGCCUCCUGAGUGCUUGGCUUAAAGGUAUGUACUACCAAACCUGGCUUUUAUUAUUAAAAUUAUAUUUAUUUAUUUUUGGUUUGGUUUGGUUUUUGAGACAGGGUUUCUCUGUGUAGUCCUAGCUGUCCUGGAACCCACUUUGUAGACCAUCCUGGCCUCAAACUCACAGUGCCACCACUGCCCAACUAUUAUUAUUUUUAAUGUGUAUGGGUGCUCCGCCUACAUGUAUAUUUAUGCACCAUGUACUUGGUGCCCUCAGAGGCCAGAAAAGAGUGUCAGAUCUCCUGAGACUGGAGUUGAAGGUGGUUGUGAACCACCAUGUAUCUAUUGUAUAUACUGGGACCUGAACCCAGGUCCUCUGGAAGAACAGCCCUCUCUCCAGUUCCUAUACAGGGUCUUAUGUAGCUAGAGUGUCUGUCUUAGUCACUGUUUUGUUGCUAGGAAGAGACACCAUGACCAAGGCAACCUUAAAAGAAAGUAUGAAAUGGGGGGCUUGUUUACAGUUUCGUAAGUUAGUCCAUUAUCAUCAUGGUGGGGAGCUUGGCAGAACGCAAGUAGACAUCUACAUACUGAUCUGCAGAAAGAGAGACUGGGCCUGGCAUGGGAUUUUGGAACCCCAAGCCCACCCCCAUUGACAUACUUCCUCCAACAAGGCCACACUUACAUGACCCCAAAAGGGACCAUUCUUAUUCAAACCACCACAGUGUUCUACUUAGGUUACUAUUUAUUCCUGUCAUGAAACAUCAUGACCAGCCGUGGUGGUGGCAUACACCUUUAAUCCCAGCACUCGGGAGGUAGAGGCAGAUAGAUCUCUGUGAGUUUGAGGCCAGUCUGGUCUACAAAGCAAGUUCCAGGACAGUCAGAGCUGUCACAUAGAGAAAUCCUGUCUUUAAAAAAAAAAUGAAAAGCAAAACAUCAUGACCAAAAUCAGCUUGGGGAGGAAAGGGUUUGUUGGCUUACAUGUCUCCAUUAUAGUCCAUCAGGAAAGGAAAGGCAAGAACUUGGAGUUAGAAAUUGAUACAGAGGCCAUGGAGGAACCUGUUUACUGGCUUGUUCUUCGGGGCUUGCUCAGCCUGCUUGCUU